GAUUGACACAAAGGUGCACAUUCACCUGUAGAGAGUGUCCAUUGAGGUGUGAUACCUGAUCCAAGACAGGCUAGUGUCUUUCUCACAUACCCAGAAGAUCAGUUGUCCUUCUCAGCUUUCCUGUUUAUUCAUGGGAAGUGGGUGUCACUGGCUAGUCCAGUAUUUGACACCCAUUCCUUCAUUUCAUUGGAGAAGUUGAUAGUGAGCUGCCAUUUUGAACGAUGACAGUCCUUGGGGUCUAAGGACAUCCUGAACACUGUUUGGAAGGGAAUUCCAGGAUUUUGACCCAGUGACAGUGAUAUAUUUCCAAGUCAGGAUGGUGUGGGGGUUUGGAGGGGAGCUUGUAGUUGGGUGGUGUCCCUGUGUCUCCUUCAAGGUGUUAGGGACUGUACAUUAGAAUCAGAAUUAGCUUCAUUGUCACACGAGUCCAGGUACACAAUCCUUUAUCUGAAAUCCGAAAAGCUCCGAAAACCGAAUAUGUAUCGUGGAGUGUGGAGUGUCAUUUUGGUGUGCGAACAGGUGACCCGACUCCACACCCACCUCACUCAGGUGUGACAUGGCAGUGUGGCCCAGCACUGGCAGGCAUCAGUUCUGCCUCAGCGUGAGUACUAUUCCCACAUUGGUCUGCUGUUAGGUUUUGUUUUAAAUUUCACUGUGAAAAUAUCAUUGAUUCCAAAAUCUGAAAAAUUCCAAAUUACAAAAAAAAAACUGGCCGCAAGGAUUUCGGAUAAAGGAUUGUGUACCUGUGCAGCGAAAAGUUAACAAGUUUCCACCUUAUGGUGCCAUCUUAGGUACCAAGGUAACCAGGUACAGAUUCUUAAAUACAAGUUCUUCGGGGGAAAGAAAUU